rnacentral:misc_RNA from 1 species
GGAUAAUGUUACUGCUACUUUUGAGCUGAUGUCUCCGGUUCCCCUUGAUGCAGGACAAAGAUUUGCUUUGCGAGAAGGUGGUAGAACAGUUGGCGCGGGCGUUGUUUCAAAAGUAAUAAACUGAGGCUUCAUGAUUUAGGUGAUUUUAGGUUCACUAUGGUUCUCUCUAGGCAGGUUGAUGAUAGAAAAGACUUUAAUUUGUUCAUUGUGGAAAAUACAAGACUUGAUAAGUGCUGAUGCAAAUAUUUUUUUCAUGAAAGUGUCAAAAGAAAUCCAAGUCUUGUUCAUUUUUUAUGGUAUUACUAAUAAUAUAUGUUCUUUGCAUUUAUUUGAAACUCCACUCUAAUUUCUUGAAGGAGUUUAUUUGCUUGUGU